rnacentral:rRNA from 1 species
GGAAACCCUGAUCCAGCCAUGCCGCGUGAAUGAUGAAGGCCUUCCGGGUUGUAAAGUUCUUUUGACGGGGACGAUGAUGACGGUACCCGUAGAAUAAGCACCGGCUAACUUCGUGCCAGCAGCCGCGGUAAUACGAAGGGUGCUAGCGUUGUUCGGAAUUACUGGGCGUAAAGGGCGCGUAGGCGGCUUGGCAAGUUGGGUGUGAAAGCCCGGGGCUCAACCCCGGAAUUGCACUCAAGACUGCCUUGCUUGAAUUCGGUAGAGGUUGGUGGAAUUCCCAGUGUAGAGGUGAAAUUCGUAGAGAUUGGGAAGAACACCCGUGGCGAAGGCGGCCAACUGGACCGACAUUGACGCUGAGGCGCGAAAGCGUGGGGAUCAAACAGGAUUAGAUACCCUGGUAGUCCACGCCGUAAACGAUGCAUGCUAGACGUUGGAACCCUCAGGGUUCUUGUGUCGCAGCUAACGCACUAAGCAUGCCGCCUGGGGAGUACGGCCGCAAGGUUGAAACUCAAAUGAAUUGACGGGGGCCCGCACAAGCGGUGGAGUAUGUGGUUUAAUUCGACGCAACGCGAAGAACCUUACCAACCCUUGACAUGUCCGCUAUGGGCCUGAGAGAUCAGGUCCUUCACUUCGGGUGGGCGGAACACAGGUGCUGCAUGGCUGUCGUCAGCUCGUGUCGUGAGAUGUUGGGUUAAGUCCCGCAACGAGCGCAACCCUCAUCUUCAGUUGCCCCCGGGUCAGGCCGGGCACUCUGAAGAAACCGCCGGUGACAAGCCGGAGGAAGGCGGGGAUGACGUCAAGUCCUCAUGGCCCUUACGGGUUGGGCUACACACGUACUACAAUGGUGGUGACAGAGGGCAGCGAAGGCGCGAGCUGGAGCUAAUCCUCAAAAGCCAUCUCAGUUCGGAUUGCACUCUGCAACUCGAGUGCAUGAAGUUGGAAUCGCUAGUAAUCGCAGAUCAGCACGCUGCGGUGAAUACGUUCCCGGGCCU